AUUGAACGCUGGCGGCAGGCUUAACACAUGCAAGUCGAGCGGGGUGAUGGUGCUUGCACUAUCACUUAGCGGCGGACGGGUGAGUAAUGCUUAGGAAUCUGCCUAUUAGUGGGGGACAACAUCUCGAAAGGGGUGCUAAUACCGCAUACGUCCUACGGGAGAAAGCAGGGGAUCACUUGUGACCUUGCGCUAAUAGAUGAGACUAAGUCGGAUUAGCUAGUUGGUGGGGUAAAGGCCUAACAAGGCGACGAUCUGUAGCGGGUCUGAGAGGAUGAUCCGCCACACUGGGACUGAGACACGGCCCAGACUCCUACGGGAGGCAGCAGUGGGGAAUAUUGGACAAUGGGGGGAACCCUGAUCCAGCCAUGCCGCGUGUGUGAAGAAGGCCUUAUGGUUGUAAAGCACUUUAAGCGAGGAGGAGGCUCUUUUGGUUAAUACCCAAGAUGAGUGGACGUUACUCGCAGAAUAAGCACCGGCUAACUCUGUGCCAGCAGCCGCGGUAA
rnacentral:rRNA from 1 species